AACGAACGCUGGCGGCAUGCCUAACACAUGCAAGUCGAACGAGACCUUCGGGUCUAGUGGCGCACGGGUGCGUAACGCGUGGGAACCUGCCCUUAGGUUCGGAAUAACUCCCCGAAAGGGGUGCUAAUACCGGAUAAUGUCUUCGGACCAAAGAUUUAUCGCCUUUGGAUGGGCCCGCGUUGUAUUAGCUAGUUGGUAGGGUAAAAGCCUACCAAGGCUACGAUCCAUAGCUGGUCUGAGAGGAUGAUCAGCCACACUGGGACUGAGACACGGCCCAGACUCCUACGGGAGGCAGCAGUGGGGAAUAUUGGACAAUGGGCGAAAGCAUGAUCCAGCAAUGCCGCGUGAGUGAUGAAGGCCUUAGGGUUGUAAAGCUCUUUUACCCGGGAUGAUAAUGACAGUACCGGGAGAAUAAGCUCCGGCUAACUCCGUG
rnacentral:rRNA from 1 species